GCUUCAAAGGCAAAAAAGCAAAAAACAAAGAUGAAAGAUAAAAACUAUCAAAGCAGACGAAUGCAGCGCUCCUCGUUUACAGUUUACAGCACACAUGUGGGCUGUUGCCAUGUUUCCUGUGUUGCCUGUAGUGUUGCCAUGUGCCUGUGGUGGAACUGUUGCCUACGGUUUCUUGGCUGUUGUUGGUGCCGUGAGAAGUCUUAUCGGUGGAGGACGACUCACAAAUGUACUGUCUUCUUAAAAAAGGCGUGACAGUGCCGGUCCGAUGUGUAUCUGCCUGCGCUGUGAUAGCAUCGCUCGGCCUCAUGAUGACUGAAGCUCCUGGAAAAGAAUCAGGAUAUUCUGAGUCAAACGCAGAUAAGAAGAUUGCAGCAGGAUCCUUCUGAGAGCGGCUUUCAUGUCUCUUGUUGCGUCACGUGAUAGAAAGGCUGAUGAGCGUGGUCAUUUGGGAUGCCUCCUGGGUGACGUGGUGUUUUCUGUGGGAGACUCUGAAGCAAACAGAGGACAUGCUGGGGAGACUGUAACUUGACUGGUUUGGGAACACCUCGUGUCCCCACAGAAGAACUGGAGGAGUUGGCUACAAGAGUGAGUCACUGAUCAGACUGCUGCCCUGAGAUCCCGAUAAGAGGUCGACUAUGGAUGGACGCAACAUGUCUACUCACAGAAACAUCACGUAGGCAUGAAGGCUGCUCGCCAGCAGCAACACAGCAACAUAGCAACAUGCUGGUAGCUUUGAAGUGGCUUCAAAACAAACAACUAUUUCUGAAGGUUGAACAAAAUGAGCUGCAACACAACAUAAACUAGACAGAGAAAAGUGCAAGGCCAAUGGAAGCAACAUAAACUAUAGUGAGAGCACAGAGCAAUGCAGAGUUACCUACUGAAUAAGAAUCACGACAUCAUCAGAAAGCAUUUGUGCAAAAAAAAGACAGAUUUGCAACAACAGAAAGCAGCAACAAAGAAUUCUGUUCAACAGCAACUUUAGCAACAAGCAGCAGGAGCAAUGGUGCUCGAGGAAAGAACUGCAACAGUGGGAGCAACUUUAGAAGUGAUAGUGACAACAAACAACUCCAAGUUGUGUGAAUGUGUCACCACAUAAUUAAUAAAGUAUUCUGACCAAAGCAACAACAGAGAGUGGCAAACACAGCAGCUCAAUAAAACAACUAUAGCAACAGAAGAAAGGAAAAAACAGGCAACAGGAGCAGCAGAGUAAAGUUUUCAGUCAUGCUGCAAAGUCAGUCAUCCAGGUAAGUAAAUCCCAAAGGUUGGGUCCUGUUCACCUGCAUGUAGGGAGAAACGCUUCGUCACUCAUCGUUAUCAAUUCUUCAGUGUGGAUGCUACGUCCAGAUGAACAGAGUCAGUUUGGGAUUGCUGUCAGUCUUGCUGCUUUUGUAGCUGUCAGAUUAAAGUCAGCGUCUGUCUGUUGACACCCGAGUGCAGACUAAACACAGGUAACCCAGGUGGGCAGACGGCCCAGGUUCAGCCAGAGGACGGACAGUGAAGAGCAAUUCAAUGAUUUACACAACGAUUUCUAACUGUGUGUACAGGACCAGGUUCAGGUUCAGGUUCAGGACAGUGCGAGUUCGGCACUGACAGCAGAACAGGAAGUGUUUGUGGUUGAAUGAAGAAGAAUGAAGUCGGUUUAUGCUGAAGUUUAUCUUUGAAGAGAAGAAGAAGGAGACUGACAGGACGAGUCAAGACCUGAGGGAGCAAUCAGAUAAUGUGGCGUCACAGCUAUGAACCGAAACAUUUCUGAAGUUAGUGACUCACACACACGCACACACACACGCACACACACACACACACACACA